GGGUUUAAGAAAUCCACCAAACUUUCCUGUGUGAUUAUCCUGGUUCUGGCGAGGACGGAGUUAAUUUCACAAGGAGCCAGGACAGACAGCAGAGAGCAGCAGUGUGAUGACCUGAAUCAGAAGGAGUGAUGUUAAGGAAUACUGAAAAGAAACUGCUACAGUGACGGAUGUAAGCAGAUGCUGUUGCCCUGGUGAUUGCUCAUUUGAGUCUGGAUUGCACCAGGGCACUCUGGGGAGCUACUGGCAAUAUAUUCUUUCUAACCAAAUUCAUGUAUGUCUCAGAAAGGGAGAGUUCUGUUCCUCUUCAGUGCCAUCUUCAAUCCCAGGUUUUCUACAGUCAGGAUUUUUUUCUUCCUUUUGACUACUGGAUUUUUUCUCAUGCCAAUCCUACAAGGAUGAAAUGAAACCAAGUAGAAU